GAUGAACGCUGGCGGCGUGCCUAAUACAUGCAAGUCGAGCGAACGGACGAGAAGCUUGCUUCUCUGACGUUAGCGGCGGACGGGUGAGUAACACGUGGAUAACCUACCUAUAAGACUGGGAUAACUUCGGGAAACCGUAGCUAAUACCGGAUAAUCUUUUGAACCGCAUGGUUCAAUAGUGAAAGACGGUCUUGCUGUCACUUAUAGAUGGAUCCGCGCUGCAUUAGCUAGUUGGUAAGGUAACGGCUUACCAAGGCAACGAUGCGUAGCCGACCUGAGAGGGUGAUCGGCCACACUGGAACUGGGACACGGUCCAGACUCCUACGGGAGGCAGCAGUAGGGAAUCUUCCGCAAUGGGCGAAAGCCUGACGGAGCAACGCCGCGUGAGUGAUGAAGGUCUUCGGAUCGUAAAACUCUGUUAUUAGGGAAGAACAGAUGUGUAAGUAACUGUGCACAGAUUGACGGUACCUAAUCAGAAAGCCACGGCUAACUACGUG
rnacentral:rRNA from 1 species